UACGAAGGGGGCUAGCGUUGCUCGGAAUUACUGGGCGUAAAGGGCGCGUAGGCGGAUAUCUAAGUUCAGGGGGUGAAAUCCUGGAGCUCAACUCCAGAACUGCCUUUGAUACUGAAGAUCUUGAGUUCGGGAGAGGUGAGUGGAACUGCGAGUGUAGAGGUGAAAUUCGUAGAUAUUCGCAAGAACACCAGUGGCGAAGGCGGCUCACUGGCCCGUAUACUGACGCUGAGGCACGAAAGCGUGGGGAGCAAACAGGA
rnacentral:rRNA from 1 species